UACGGGGGGUGCAAGCGUUGUUCGGAAUUAUUGGGCGUAAAGCGCGUGUAGGCGGUCUAAUUAGUCUGAUGUGAAAGCCCUGGGCUCAACCCAGGAAGUGCAUUGGAUACUGUCAGACUUGAAUACGGGAGAGGGUAGUGGAAUUCCUAGUGUAGGAGUGAAAUCCGUAGAUAUUAGGAGGAACACCGGUGGCGAAGGCGGCUACCUGGACCGAUAUUGACGCUGAGACGCGAAAGCGUGGGUAGCAAACAGG
rnacentral:rRNA from 1 species